rnacentral:lncRNA from 1 species
GUUUUGUGUUAGUGCGUACAUUGUUUUAGCACAUACAUGUACGUGUUUGUCAGGUUUAUUUUGUUGUACAUAAAACAAAUAGUAACCUUUUUUUUCAAGUGGACGAGGAGACCAACAGACAAAACUCACUGACUAACUGUUACAACUAAAACUGAGAUACUACUGUGACAACGCUAGUAUUUAGUAUAGGCCUACUUAUUUUUUUUAAAGUGCAGAGACGUUAACUGCCCUGCAGAUGGAGACAUGUUACACGUUAUUCUGGGUUCCCGUUCCGUUUGUCUUUUUUCUCCUCCUACCAGAAGGACGCAAGGGAAGGAAGGAAGGAGCAUUGAGUUACUCUCCAGCCCUGGGCCCAUAGAAAUGAAAUGGAUUUCUAUGCUUGGGCCUGAUGGUGAGCUGGACUCCCCAGUUUGUAUUCUCUCACUGAGCAGAGGACACUCAGUUUCCCCGGCAACUAGGGCUCCAAUCGGCCAGCCAGCUGCAGAUUAGUUCAGUGGUUGGGG